rnacentral:rRNA from 1 species
GAUGAACGCUGGCGGCGUGCUUAACACAUGCAAGUCGAACGUGAGAGGGUAGCAAUAUCCUUGAAAGUGGCGCACGGGUGAGUAAUACGUAGGUAACCUGCCCUGGAGUGGGGGAUAACAACUGGAAACGGUUGCUAACACCGCAUAAUACCGGACACUAGGGAUAGUGACUGGUAAAAACUCUGGUGCUUCAGGAGGGGCCUGCGGCCGAUUAGCUAGUUGGCGGGGUAAGAGCCCACCAAGGCAUUGAUCGGUAGCUGGUCUGAGAGGACGAUCAGCCACACGGGAACUGAGACACGGUCCCGACUCCUACGGGGGGCAGCAGUGAGGAAUAUUGGGCAAUGGGCGAAAGCCUGACCCAGCAACGCCGCGUGGAGGAAGACGGCCUUCGGGUUGUAAACUCCUUUUACGGGGGAGGAGGAAGGACGGUACCCCGAGAAUAAGUCACGGCUAACUACGUGCCAGCAGCCGCGGUAACAC